rnacentral:tRNA from 1 species
CAGUAAGUAGUUUAUUUUUAAAAUGUUAAUUUUGGGGAUUAAUGAAGGGUUUACUUACUCUUUACUGA